GAUGAACGCUGGCGGCGUGCCUAAUACAUGCAAGUCGAGCGAACAGACCAGGAGCUUGCUCCUCUGACGUUAGCGGCGGAAGGGUGAGUAACAUGUGGAUAACCUACCUAUAAGACUGGGAUAACUCCGGGAAACCGGAGCUAAUACCGGAUAAUAUAUUGAACCGCAUGGUUCAAUAGAGAAAGACGGUUUUGCUGUCACUUAUAGAUGGAUCCGCGCCGCAUUAGCUAGUUGGUAAGGUAACGGCUUACCAAGGCAACGAUGCGUAGCCGACCUGAGAGGGUGAUCGGCCACACUGGAACUGAGACACGGUCCAGACUCCUACGGGAGGCAGCAGUAGGGAAUCUUCCGCAAUGGGCGAAAGCCUGACGGAGCAACGCCGCGUGAGUGAUGAAGGUCUUCGGGUCGUAAAACUCUGUUAUUAGGGAAGAACAAGUGUGUAAGUAGCUAUGCACGUCUUGACGGUACCUAAUCAAAAAGCCACGGCUAACUACGUG
rnacentral:rRNA from 1 species